rnacentral:rRNA from 1 species
AAAAAUGCACAUAUUGUGAGCUCGAUGAGUAGGGCGGGACACGUGGUAUCCUGUCUGAAUAUGGGGGGACCAUCCUCCAAGGCUAAAUACUCCUGACUGACCGAUAGUGAACCAGUACCGUGAGGGAAAGGCGAAAAGAACCCCGGCGAGGGGAGUGAAAAAGAACCUGAAACCGUGUACGUACAAGCAGUGGGAGCACGCUUAGGCGUGUGACUGCGUACCUUUUGUAUAAUGGGUCAGCGACUUAUAUUCUGUAGCAAGGUUAACCGAAUAGGGGAGCCGAAGGGAAACCGAGUCUUAACUGGGCGUUAAGUUGCAGGGUAUAGACCCGAAACCCGGUGAUCUAGCCAUGGGCAGGUUGAAGGUUGGGUAACACUAACUGGAGGACCGAACCGACUAAUGUUGAAAAAUUAGCGGAUGACUUGUGGCUGGGGGUGAAAGGCCAAUCAAACCGGGAGAUAGCUGGUUCUCCCCGAAAGCUAUUUAGGUAGCGCCUCGUGAAUUCAUCUCCGGGGGUAGAGCACUGUUUCGGCAAGGGGGUCAUCCCGACUUACCAACCCGAUGCAAACUGCGAAUACCGGAGAAUGUUAUCACGGGAGACACACGGCGGGUGCUAACGUCCGUCGUGAAGAGGGAAACAACCCAGACCGCCAGCUAAGGUCCCAAAGUCAUGGUUAAGUGGGAAACGAUGUGGGAAGGCCCAGACAGCCAGGAUGUUGGCUUAGAAGCAGCCAUCAUUUAAAGAAAGCGUAAUAGCUCACUGGUCGAGUCGGCCUGCGCGGAAGAUGUAACGGGGCUAAACCAUGCACCGAAGCUGCGGCAGCGACGCUGAUGCGUUGUUGGGUAGGGGAGCGUUCUGUAAGCCUGUGAAGGUGUGCUGUGAGGUAUGCUGGAGGUAUCAGAAGUGCGAAUGCUGACAUAAGUAACGAUAAAGCGGGUGAAAAGCCCGCUCGCCGGAAGACCAAGGGUUCCUGUCCAACGUUAAUCGGGGCAGGGUGAGUCGACCCCUAAGGCGAGGCCGAAAGGCGUAGUCGAUGGGAAACAGGUUAAUAUUCCUGUACUUGGUGUUACUGCGAAGGGGGGACGGAGAAGGCUAUGUUGGCCGGGCGACGGUUGUCCCGGUUUAAGCGUGUAGGCUGGUUUUCCAGGCAAAUCCGGAAAACUAAGGCUGAGGCGUGAUGACGAGGCACUACGGUGCUGAAGCAACAAAUGCCCUGCUUCCAGGAAAAGCCUCUAAGCAUCAGGUAACAUCAAAUCGUACCCCAAACCGACACAGGUGGUCAGGUAGAGAAUACCAAGGCGCUUGAGAGAACUCGGGUGAAGGAACUAGGCAAAAUGGUGCCGUAACUUCGGGAGAAGGCACGCUGAUAUGUAGGUGAAGUCCCUCGCGGAUGGAGCUGAAAUCAGUCGAAGAUACCAGCUGGCUGCAACUGUUUAUUAAAAACACAGCACUGUGCAAACACGA